GCCUCUAUGGCCAAGUGGUAAGGCGUCGCACUCGUAAUGCGAAGACUCGUGCGUUCGAAUCGCACUGGAGGCA